CUUGCGUCUGUUGGAACAUGGACAAAUAAUGAUUAAAUUGAUUUGUUAACGUACCAUUUCAAAGCGAAACUGCCAACCCCCCUAGAAAAGUUCUAGUUUAUGCAGCACCGCGGUUCAGCGCCUGGUCAUCUCGUCGACUGGUUUCUAUUAUUAUUCCAUAUCCAUUUAUCCGCGAACAGAGGUAAUCCGUGGUCUUCGGAGGGGAGACUACACCGCACAGAGAUCAAUCAGAAACGUCCCACGCGAAGUCUACAGCUUCAACCCCAGCAGAAUCUUCGCUACAAGGCCACUGAGUUUGGUGGAGUAAGCUGUCUUGGCAUGCCAUCUGACUUUACCACAGGAAGGCUGUGCUGGAGCGAGAGGUAGAGACAUGAUCCGACCGUUCAAUGUGAAUUGAAGGGUUCCUGUAAAAUCUACAGCUAAAAAGGUGUAUUUCCUAAAGGCAGAGGAGUGAGAGCCAGGACUCACGCUAUGAUAUCAACUGACAAUGAAAGUAGUAUUUCAAACCUCAUAAAACUAUGACAAGUGUGUUGCAUGUCAUCUUUACGCAAGUGAACAGGAUGCAUGCAAAGCAUACAGAUAUGCUGAACUCAAUCGAAAAGUGAGUGAAGUGUAAUGUUUGACAUGAAUAAAGGUCUCCUGAAGAGGGCAGUACCAAAGUGUGUUUCAUGGAGUUGCCUGGUA